AGGACGAACGCUGGCGGCGUGCUUAACACAUGCAAGUCGAACGAGGUUCAAUCAUUCGCAAGUUUGAGGAAAAUCUAGUGGCGAACGGGUGCGUAACACGUGAGGAACCUAUCCCAGUCUCUGGAAUAACAGGUGGAAACACCUGCUAAUACCGGAUGCCGCUGGACCAUCGCAUGGUGGACCAACGAAAGAUUUAUCGGAUUGGGAGGGCCUCGCGGCCUAUCAGCUUGUUGGUGAGGUAACGGCUCACCAAGGCAUCGACGGGUAGCUGGUCUGAGAGGAUGAUCAGCCACACUGGGACUGAGACACGGCCCAGACUCCUACGGGAGGCAGCAGUGGGGAAUCUUGCACAAUGGGCGAAAGCCUGAUGCAGCAACGCCGCGUGCGGGAAGAAGGCCCUAGGGUUGUAAACCGCUUUCAGCAGGGAAGAAAUGACGGUACCUGUAGAAGAAGGUGCGGCCAACUACGUGCCAGCAGCCG
rnacentral:rRNA from 1 species